rnacentral:misc_RNA from 1 species
UUCUUCUACUUUUGAUCGCACUGUUAUUCUUCCCCUUCUCCUCCUCCUCUUACGACUCAUCAUUCUCAUCCACUUCGGUAAUCCAGUUGUUUUUUGCGAUAAACUCGUGUAUGUAUAUAAGUUGCCACACCCGGCAUUAUUGUGAUCAGUCUCCUUCUAGUUAUCAUUUGGAAAACAGUUUUGUUUCACACAUCGAGCUGAGAUAUGGCUCGUCACCAGUUUAUUCUUAUUGUGGCAGUCGCACUGAUAUGUACAGUUAUGGCCGCCCCCGAGCCUGAACCUUUGCCUUACGGUGGAGGCGGUGGCCACGACCACGGACAUGGGGGCGGUAGCCAUGGGGGCGGUAGCCAUGGAGGCGGUAGCCAUGGAGGCGGUAGUCAUGGAAGCCACGGAGGUGAUUUCGGAGGCGGUAGUCAUGGAAGCCACGGAGGAUACGGAGGCAGUCAAGGCGGUCACGGAGGCCACGGAAGUCAAGGAGGCGGUUUCGGAGGCAGCCAUGGAAGUCAUGGAGGUGGUCACGGAAGUCAUGGAGGCAGUCACGGAAGUCACGGAGGUAGUCACGGAAGUCAUGGAGGUUUCGGAGGUAGUCACGGAGGAUACCAAAAGCAUGGCUACUAGACAAAAUUAGCCUAGGCCUACUCAUAAUUAUCAGAAUCACCAUCGACCAAUCAUUUACUAUAAGUUGUACUACUCAUACGUUGAGUGAACUGAACCGUAGACAUAGACACACUUUUGUAAAUUAAAGAUGUUUUUUAUUUCAAUGUAA